rnacentral:rRNA from 1 species
UACGUAGGUGGCAAGCGUUGUCCGGAAUUACUGGGUGUAAAGCGCGCGUAGGCGGUAGGCCAAGUCUGCUGUGAAAUCGCCCGGCUCAACUGGGCGCGGUCGGUGGAAACUGGUCAACUGGAGGACGGUAGAGGCGAGUGGAAUUCCCGGUGUAGUGGUGAAAUGCGUAGAGAUCGGGAGGAACACCAGUGGCGAAGGCGGCUCGCUGGGCCGGACCUGACGCUGAGGCGCGAAGGCGUGGGGAGCGAACGGG